rnacentral:rRNA from 1 species
UACGGGGGGGGGUAAGCGUUGUUCGGAAUUACUGGGCGUAAAGGGCGCGUAGGCGGCCUGCUAAGUCGAACGUGAAAUCCCUGGGCUCAACCCAGGAACUGCGUCCGAUACUGGUUGGCUUGAAUCCGGGAGAGGGAUGCGGAAUUCCAGGUGUAGCGGUGAAAUGCGUAGAUAUCUGGAGGAACACCGGUGGCGAAGGCGGCAUCCUGGACCGGCAUUGACGCUGAGGCGCGAAAGCCAGGGGAGCAAACGGG